UACGGAGGGGGCGAGCGUUGUUCGGAUUUACUGGGCGUAAAGGGCGCGUAGGCGGCCACCGCAAGUCGACUGUGAAAUCUCCGGGCUUAACUCGGAAAGGUCAGCCGAUACUGCGGGGCUAGAGUGCAGAAGGGGCAACUGGAAUUCUCGGUGUAGCGGUGAAAUGCGUAGAUAUCGAGAGGAACACCUGCGGCGAAGGCGGCUAUCUGGACGACAACUGACGCUGAGGCACGAAAGCGUGGGGAUCAAACAGG
rnacentral:rRNA from 1 species